CCUACGGGAGGCUGCAGUGGGGAAUCUUUCACAAUGGGGGAAACCCUGAUGCAGCGACGCCGCGUGAGUGAAGGAGUAAUUCGUUAUGUAAAGCCCUAUCAGCAGGGAAGAAAAUGACGGUACCUGAGUAAGAAGCCCCGGCUAACUACGUGCCAGCAGCAGCGGUCAUACGUAGGGAGCAAGCGUUAUCCGGAUUUACUGGGUGUAAAGGGAGCGUAGACGGCAGUGCAAGUCUGGAGUGAAAGGCGGGGGCUCAACCCCCGGACUGCACUGGAAACUGUACGGCUGGAGGUCAGGAGAGGUAAGUGGAAUUCCUGGUGUAGCGGUGAAAUGCGUAGAUAUUAGGAGGAACACCAGUGGCGAAGGCGGCUUACUGGACUGUAACUGACGUUGAGGCACGAAAGCGUGGGGAGCAAACAGGAUUAGAUACCCGAGUAGUC
rnacentral:rRNA from 1 species